rnacentral:rRNA from 1 species
AAAAACAUGGCUCUUGGGAAAAUAAAGAGUCUGGCCUGCUCACUGAUAUUUAAAGAGCUGCAGUAUUCUAACUGUACUAAGGUAGCAUAAUACAUUGUCUUUUAAAUGAAGACUUGAAUGAAAGGUUUGACAUGAGACUAACUUUUAAAAAAAUUUAAAUAAAUUAUUUGUGAGUUAAAAUACUUAUAUAAAAUUAAAAAGACGAUAAGACCCUGUAAAAUUUUACUUACUUGUGGUAGGACCAGAUAAAUCAAAAUUAAGUUUAGCUGGGAUGGCUAAUAUACAAAAACUAUUUUACAUAAAACACUAAUUAGUGGUGCAAAAGACCCUAAAAGGAUCCAGAGAUUUAAUUACUUCAGGGAUAACAGCGUAAUUUCUUUUAGAGUUCUAAUCGAUUAAGAAGAUUGCGACCUCGAUGUUGAAUUAAGAGUUCUUAAUGGUGCAGAAGCUGUUAAUAUAGAUCUGUUCGAUCUUUCUCUCUUACAUGAUCUGAGUUCAAACCGGAGA